CGAGCUUUUUCAUUCAUAACGCAACAAAUGUUCUAGAACAUGGUACUGAUGGGGAGCCUGUGGUGCGCAGAUUGGAUUACCCAGGUGUUGGUCCAGAGCACAGUUUCCUGAAGGAUGUUGGUCGAGCAGAGUACUUCAGCGUGACUGAUGAUGAAGCCCUGGAAGCAUUCCAGAGGUUGUCCAAGCUGGAGGGUAUCAUUCCGGCACUGGAGACAUCUCAUGCCCUAGCUUUCUUGGAAAAACUUUGCCCUACACUUGAAGACGGUACCCGAGUGGUCCUCAAUUGCAGUGGUCGUGGUGACAAGGAUGUCAACAGCGUCAUUGGUUACUUGAAAGGAAAGUACUGAAUCUCAGUAUGAAGAUUGUGGGGAAUGUCUCACUUCAAUUAUUGUCAUUCCACGUUUUUUUGCAAUGAGUUUUUCCAGCCUCUUUAAGAAUUGGUAAGGCAGAGAAGAUGUCUCGUCUUUGCGGGCCAUUGUUGUAAUCGAGAGCAGUGCAUUAUCUGCGCUGAACAGAUAUCAGUCUGGAGGUAUUUAGGUUUAAUACACAGAACAUGGAGUUCUUUUAUAUCCUUUUUCUGCCUUAAGGAGCAUUCACUUGAAGAAUGUUGUUGCUGCAGUGGUUCACAAUGCCUUACAAAGAUAUUGAAGCUGCCCCCCUUAUCCACGUAGUUGUGCAUGUGUUGCUGGCUACAUGCGCCAGUUCACAAUUGACUACAACCUCCUUUUCCAGAGAAACAGAGCUAAGAGCUAUGGAAGCACAUACGAGUGGUUUCUUAACAUGGAAUAUAUAUACAUA